rnacentral:lncRNA from 1 species
ACUUAACCUCUUUUUGGAAAGAUUUAAGACUUGACAAGCACCAGAGCUUCGUGGAACUGCUUGUUCCCAUGGUGGUCUGUGACACAGUAUUGUCCUCUUUACGACUUUAGUCAGUGUUUGUUCCCUUAAUUUUCUGCCUGAGUCUGCUGCGGAUAUGGGAUUGUGCAGGACUGGCCAGUCAACAAAGUAUCGUCUACAUAUGGUAUUGGAUCCUUUUAACUAGGAAUUUAUUGCGUGCAUCAAAGAAAGGCGAAUAACAGUUUACGGCUGUGCAGGACCAGGACCAGAUGUGGACUGCUGUAACUCUGCAGUGUCCUGCAGACACUAAGUGGGUAACCCUGAGCAAGAGGUGAGCUGGACGCCUACAGGGGUCAAGCCAGGUCCUUGGGGAGGUGGGGGCAGGUAACUUUUUAAAUUGGAGUGGUGAAAGGGUUAACAUUUCCAUGCCCGUGUACUAUCAACAAUGUC